GAAGAGAUGAAAACCUGGAAGCCUCUUUCAACCAGGGAAUGGGACCCAAAAUUUAGGUCACAAUGGAGUGGGAAUUGUGCCUGUCUGUUUAUCAGGUACCCAGCCGCCCCGGAGGAGGAAGAGGCUGGACUGGGGGGAGCUAAAGAGCUCUGAGCCUACCCCGCAAAGGGUCAAGCGCCGACCCGGAAGUAUAAAGGCGGGCCUUCCGAGCUCAGUGGGAGGUCAGCGACCAGAGCGAGCGGACGUCCUUCCGGGAGCUUGGCGCCAGGAGGCUUCUACCCUCCCCCGUGCUCGCUACCCCGAGGAGCUGCCGGAGCUCCCCUGGACCGCCGUUCCGGAGGAGUUGCCGGACCUGCCACCCAGCCCCGUCCGAGACGAACCCAUGCACCUGGACCCGGUGGAGGAUGACCCCAGGAUCCAGGUGCUGAUGAGGUUGCCAUCUACGUACAUUCACUGACCCAGGACAAUGAGCCAGACGGACUCCCAGAGGUGGUCAAAAAAGGUAGAUGAUACUCAACAGUGCCAAGCAGAAACAGCUAUUGAACCCAUGGAAUCUAGUUCAAGAUCUCCUCUUUUCAUAAAUAAUCAACUCACAAAAGCUGUUGCUGAGAACUCUGUGUGUGUUGAGAUUCUCCCCAAAGGCAGAUGUUCCUUGAGCACACAAACUACCUGGUCAAAAUGAACAAGACAAACCCACCUUUGGACUUGUGUGGAGAAAGCGCUACCUCAGUGACAGUUCCAAGGAGGACCUUUGACUCAACCGUUGAUGGAGACGUUGG